UACGUAGGGGGCAAGCGUUAUCCGGAUUUACUGGGUGUAAAGGGAGUGUAGGCGGUCUGGCAAGUCUGAUGUGAAACUCCGCAGCUCAACUGCGGAACUGCAUUGGAAACUGUCAGACUAGAGUGCAGGAGAGGAAAGUGGAAUUCCUAGUGUAGCGGUGAAAUGCGUAGAUAUUAGGAAGAACACCAGUGGCGAAGGCGGCUUUCUGGACUGUAACUGACGCUGAGGCUCGAAAGCGUGGGGAG
rnacentral:rRNA from 1 species